AUUGAACGCUGGCGGCAGGCCUAACACAUGCAAGUCGAACGGUAACAGGAAGAAGCUUGCCUCUUUGCUGACGAGUGGCGGACGGGUGAGCAAUGUCGGGGAAACUGCCUGAUGGAGGGGGAUAACUAGUGGAAACGGUAGCAAAUACCGCAUAAAGUCGCAAGACCAAAGAGGGGGAGCUUCGGGCGUCUUGCCAUCGGAUGUGCCCGGAUGGGAUUAGCUAGUAGGUGGGGUAACGGCUCACCUAGGCGACGAUCCCUAGCUGGUCGGAGAGGAUGAGCAGCCACACUGGAACUGAGACACGGUCCAGACUCCUACGGGAGGCAGCAGUGGGGAAUCUUCCGCAAUGGGCGCAAGCCUGAUGCAGCCAUGCCGCGUGUGUGAAGAAGGCCUUCGGGUUGUAAAGUACUUUCAUCGGGGAGGAAGAAAUUUAUGUUAAUCCCUUUACGCAUUGACGUUACCCACUGAAGAAGCACCGGCUAACUCCGUG
rnacentral:rRNA from 1 species